rnacentral:rRNA from 1 species
UACGUAGGGGGCAAGCGUUGUCCGGAUUUAUUGGGCGUAAAGAGCGUGUAGGCGGCCAGACAGGUCCGCUGUGAAAACUCGAGGCUCAACCUCGAGAUGUCGGUGGAAACCGUCUGGCUAGAGUCCGGAAGAGGAGAGUGGAAUUCCAGGUGUAGCGGUGAAAUGCGCAGAUAUCGGGAAGAACACCCGUGGCGAAGGCGGCUCUCUGGGACGGUACUGACGCUGAGACGCGAAAGCGUGGGGAGCGAACAGG